rnacentral:misc_RNA from 1 species
ACUGUAUUACAAAGGUAUGAGAAAAAUGAAUUGGCUGUACAACCUCUAAUUUCCUCUUUCUGUUUUUAUAGCCUUCGGUAAUUGGAUAGAGAAUUAUUAGACCUUCUCAUAUUCUGUUGUUUAAGGCUCAUUUCUUUUGGAUUGAUAUAAUAUGACUAUACUUUCUCAGAGAGUUGGAUGUAUUGAGAUUUAUGCCAUUUUUGUUGAUGUUUUCCUGGAGUAGUAGCACUAACUUAUUAAUGAAUGGCAAUUUACUAGUUACUGUUAAUUAAUUGCUCAAGGCACAUGGAUUAUGCUUAAUUCUGUCUUAGUUGAAAACUGUAUGCACCAGUGAAUUCCAUCAGUAGAAGGAACUGGUUGUGUUUGUAUGGAUUGAAAUUUUAGUCUUAUGGUUGUGAGAGUUCCUUUUUGUACUGGGUUGUGUUAUUUUGUUUAGUAUAAAAUUUUACACCUAUACUGAGAGGUAGAGGGAACUGAUCGUGUUAGUAUGGAUUGAGAUUUUAGUCUUAUUGUUGUGACUUGUGAGAGUUCCUUCAUGUAGUAGGUUUUGUUAUUUUGUUUAGUAUAAAAUUUUACACCUAUACUGAGAGGUAGAGGGAACUGAUCGUGUUAGUAUGGAUUGAGAUUUUAGUCUUAUUGUUGUGACUUGUGAGAGUUCCUUCAUGUAGUAGGUUU